rnacentral:rRNA from 1 species
UACGGAGGGUGCAAGCGUUAUCCGGAUUUACUGGGUUUAAAGGGUGCGUAGGCGGGUUGUUAAGUCAGUGGUGAAAGAUUCGAGCUCAACUCGGAAACUGCCAUUGAUACUGACAAUCUUGAAUAUAGUUGAGGUGGGCGGAAUGUGUCAUGUAGCGGUGAAAUGCUUAGAUAUGACACAGAACACCGAUUGCGAAGGCAGCUUGCUAAACUAUUAUUGACGCUGAGGCACGAAAGCGUGGGGGAGCGAACAGG